rnacentral:lncRNA from 1 species
AGCACGGGGCCUGAUACAUAGUAAGCCCUCGGUAAUAAUUACAUCUUCCAUGCUGCUAGACACAGAGGGAUUGAAACGCAUAACAAUAGAGAUGAAACACGAAGAGUGACAAAUGAAGAUUGAGUGUGCACACCUUCUGGAGGAGCCCUGAUUGAGUAUUUUAAAAUACUACUAAAGUCAUGCUGUGUGACUUCUGAAGCUAGCUCCUAAGAAGUCCUUGCAGCUUCUGCCUGCGACUCUUAGAACACUUGCUUUGAAGGACUCCAGAAGCUGUGUUGAAAGUCUGAGCACUCUGAAACCACCAUGCUGUGAGGAAGCCCAAGCUAACCACAUGGGCAAAAAAGAUGCCCUCUGACUGCCACCAUUUGAGACACUCUAAUUUAGAACUGCCUCAUUGAGCCCAUGAGGCCCUGUGAAUGAUAAUAAUAAAUUGUUUUUAACCA